GGCUUGUCAAGAAUACGCAUAAGUUGUGUGAAUGUGGUGUCAAAAAAGGCAUAAAUUAAAUUCUUUUGCAGCCAUUAUUGCCCUUGAAUUUGGUUUCUUUGGCAUAGGUGCUGCAUAAGGAACAGUU
rnacentral:snoRNA from 1 species